ACGGAGGGUGCAAGCGUUAUCCGGAUUCACUGGGUUUAAAGGGUGUGUAGGCGGGCUAUUAAGUCAGUGGUGAAAUCUCAGGGCUCAACCCUGAAACUGCCAUUGAUACUAUUAGUCUUGAAUUCUGUUGAGGUGGGCGGAAUAUGUCAUGUAGCGGUGAAAUGCUUAGAUAUGACAUAGAACACCGAUUGCGAAGGCAGCUCACUAAGCAGCGAUUGACGCUGAGGCACGAAAGCGUGGGGAUCAAACAGGA
rnacentral:rRNA from 1 species